GCGUUUCCCAUGGACGUUGCUGCGUUCCAUUGUACCUCGGAACUCGGAUCUCCAACCACGGAAGUCGGGGUGGUGAUUUUUUCCCCGACCUCCCGAGGUGGAAUUCCGACUUGCAGGGGCGUUCCAGUUGCAAUGUCCGACUCGGAGGUCAUAAUUCCGAGUUCCGAGACGUUACUGGAACGAUAAACCCAACCUCCGAGUUCCGAGUGCCGAGUUCCGAGUUACAAUGGAAGGCAGCAUUAAAUAGUACAUCCGGGUGUUUCCUCAACUGCGCUUCAGGCUUCACAGCGGUGCUCCAUCGGUUCAGUGCGCAUGCGUGAGAGUUUGAAACCCAAACGCGCGAAGACCUCAGCGAAUGUGUUCAAUGCUGCUGGUGUGUGUAAGUCGGAGCAUAGCAUCAUUUCACCAGGAAUAUUAUCUGUUGCUUUUCGCAUCUAUUCCGGCUAUUCAAGAUUUAUUUUUCAUCCAGAAACAGUGUGACAAACAAGGUGAGAAAUCUCUCUCUAUAUAUUCUGUCCAUUAAUGCAAUAUACGAUGAAAGUACCUUUCUAUUUUAAAUGAACAGACUGUCAUGCCAUGAGCGUAAUGGUAAAAUGUGUUCGAGCGGCUGGUGUGUGUAAAUCAGAGCAUAGCCAUAUCACCAUUAAUAUCAUCUGCUGCUUUUCGCAUCUAAUCCUGCAAUUGAGGAUUUAUUUUCAUCGGAAACGGAUGUGACUAACAAGGUGAGACACCUCUCUCUCUCUCUCUCUCUCUCUCUCUCUCUCUCUCUCUGUGUGUGUAACUGUUAUGCCACUUCUAUAAUGUUGUAUAUCCACUGGGAAAAGAUCAGUAGCUACCAUGAGUUCGAACUGUUUUACAGUUAGCAAGUUAAACCCUGUCCCUUUGAGACCAUUAAGGUAAAGGUUGACUUGGGAAAUUGUCAAAUCUUGCUCAAAUAUCUCUCAACCACUUCAUUACUUCCUCUAUUUUUUAUAAAUAAUUAUUAAUCAGUUAUUGAUCCAGUGAUUUUGUGCCAACCAUUUCAAAGUUUUUUUUAACUUUUGUAGGUAAUGUUUAUUCAGGUGUGAACAAUGUAAUGUAUAUGUUCUGUCCAAAUGUGAUUUGUGGGUUGUCACUAAUCCAAGGUAAAGUCUGUUUAAUUUAUUGAGCCCAGUAUCUCAAGUCUUUGUCAAGGGUUUUCACAACCUGGACAGAGUUUGACACUCAGCGUUUUCCAGUUUUCCUUUCCCAUCCAGACCGAGGACAGGAAAGAAAAGACUCCGCUAAUUAACUCUUUUAAAGGGAAAAUUAUUUUUUGUUAAAAGGGUAGCGCAGAGCAGAGGUCCCUCUUCACAAAUGGAUGGACAAAAAAAUAGGAAGAUGAAAAUAAGCAUAUAAACAACAAUUUAUUAUCAAUGGGUAAAUAUUUUAUUUUACUAGCAGAUUUCGUGUUGUAUAUGAAUUGAAACAGGUGAUCUGCCAGGGUGCAUUACUCAGUUGCCUCUUUCCCCUAACAAACACAAACAAAGAUAAGGUUUUGAUCAGGUUAAUUUCAAACACAUUUGCAAGUUUCCCACAUAAUUAAGGUAAAAUUUGUAUUUGAUAAAUUUAAAGAAUUGUGUAUUUACCUUGCCAGAGUCACGGCUCUUGGCUCUCAGCUUAUUGACCUGGGACUCUGCGAUGUCAGCACGCUCCUCAGCCUCCUCCAGCUCAUGUUGGACCUUCCUGCACUUCGACAGGUGAACAUUGGCCUGCUCCUCCUAGAAUACAUUUCAUAGUAAAAUGUUUAAUUGUUCAGACCAGGAGAUGUAUUUUACAUGAAAUAUGACAUAGUAUCAAGUUUUAUAUUGUUUAAAAAAAAUAAACAUGUUGCCCUUACCGCUUCCUCAGCCUGCCUCUUGUAGGCCUUCACCUUGAGCUGCAACUUGUCAACCAGGUCCUGCAGCCUGGUAACGUUUUUCUUGUCCUCCUCAGUCUGUUGUAGAAAAUACAUACAUUUUCAUAUUUUGAUUAAAGUAAAGUAUUAGAAUUAAUUUGUACUAUAUGAUUUGAAUAUGAGAAUAUACCUGAUAGGUGAGUUCUUUCACUCUCCUCUCGUAUUUGCGGACACCCUUAACAGCAUCUGCUCCACGUCUCUGCUCAGCCUCAACUUCUGUCUCCAGCUCACGCACCUUGAGAAAACCACAAAAUGUAUUUAGUGAUUAGGAUACAGGUGAUUUUUAUGUUUCCUUACCUUUGUUCAUCUGUGUAAAUUUGUGACCUGACUGUCUUACCCUAGACUCCAGUUUCUGGAGCUGCUUCUUGCCGCCCUUCAUAGCCAGGUUCUCAGCCUCAUCCAGACGGUGCUGCAGGUCCUUAACAGCGACCUCCAGGUUCUUCUUCAUCCUCUCCAGGUGAGCGCUCGUAUCCUGCUCCUUCUUCAGCUCUUCUGCCAUCAUUGCGGCCUACCAAGCAUAAAGUUUAAAUUAGAAGUGUCAUGAAAAAAGCACAUUUUAGCAGGAGUGCAAUAGUGAUAGGAAAUGUAAGCCUACAUCAGUGAUGGCCUUCUUAGCCUUGUCCUCUGCAUUCCUUGCUUCCUGAACAGUGUCAUCAACUUCACUCUGGAUCUGGACCAGGUCAGUCUCAAGCUUCUUCUUGGUGUUCAGAAGGCUUGUGUUCUAAAAGAGGAAAACAUUGAGUCAUUAAUGUCACCAAAUGCUUGAUUUCUAUGUUAUUUUAAAACUCAUUUUAUUUAUUAAUUAUAGGAAAUAAUAAUUGUAUUGUUCACCUGAGAGUGCAGAAGUCCAACACGCUCACUGGCAUCCACUAGUUCCUGUUCAGCGAUUUUGCGACCUCUCUCUGUCUGUUCCAGAGCAGCUCUAAGUUCAUCAAUUUCAGCCACCAUGAGACCGUUCCUGCGAUCCACCAUAGCAGCUUGUUCCUUGAGGUCAUCCUGGGCUCUGACAGCAUCGUCAAGGUGCAGUUGAGCAUCCUAGGGAAAAGAAUAUCAAGACAAUAUUCACAUGAACACCAUAAUAAAGGUUCACCCACUACUCUGUAGUAUUUACAACGUUUCUAUGUUUAACAAUACCUUCAGCUGUGCCUGCACAUUCCUCAGCUGCUUCUGGGACUCAGCAGCCUGGCGAUUGGCAUGGCUGAGCUGAAUCUCCAUCUCAUUCAGGUCUCCCUCCAUCUUCUUCUUGAUUCUCAGGGCGUCGUUCCUGCUCCUGACCUCAGAAUCCAGAGUGCUCUGCAUGGAGUCAAUCACCCUCUGACUGUUUCUCUUGAUCUGCUCCAUCUCCUCAUCUUUUUCUGCCAGCUUCCUGUCCACCUCACCCUUGAUCUGGUUGAGUUCCAGCUGGACACGCAGGAUCUUGGACUCUUCAUGUUCCAGAGUUCCCUGAAUAUAUCAAUAUGUAAAAAAAAUAAUCUUCGCCUUCAGACUUUUCAUACCAAUUUACAGUAUUUUUCCACAAUUUGUAUUUUAUUUAUUCUUUGGAAAAUAUGUUAAAAUGAACCUCUGCUUCCUCAAGAGCUGUCUGGAUCUCAGCUUUCUCUGUCUCCACCUGCUUCUUGGUCUUUUCCAGCUCAUGGAUGCUUUUGCCAGUCUCACCAAUCUGUUCAGUCAGAUCAGAGAUCUCCUCUGCAGAGAAACACAUGUGUUGAAUAUAAUCAAGCCUUAAAAUAUAAAAUAUGAAUACUUUAUUUUAACACAUACAGACAUAUGUUGAAUACAAUCUAAUUGAAUUAUAAUUGCUGACAAAUUCGGGUAGGAACUCACGUUGCAAGUUCUUGUUUUCACGCUUCAUGGUCUCCAGCUGAUCCAGAGAUUCCUCAUAAGAGUUCUUCAUCUUGAACAGCUCAGUGCCAAGAGAACGAGCCUCCUUCUGAGCUCCUUCAAGUUCUGACUGACCCUCCUCGUGCUUUUGUUUCCACUCUGCCAAAACCUGAAUGACACAAUUUAUACUGUUCAGUUUGAUAUGUAGAAAUAAAAAAGUCCCCAAAAAAUUAAAUGAAUUUUA